rnacentral:lncRNA from 1 species
AAAGGAAUGCCACAUAAUAGCUACCAUGGCAAAACUGGAUGAGUCUGUAAUGUUACCCAACAUGCUGUUGGCAUUGUUAUAAACAAGGAUAAGAUUCUUGCCAAUAGAAUCAGUGUGUGUAUUGAGCAUAUUAACCACUCUAAGAGCUGAGAUAGCCUCCCGAAAUGCAUGAAGGAAAAUGAUCAGAAAAGGAAGCCAAAGAGAAAGGUACCGGGGUUCAACUGAAGCACUAGCCCACUCCACCCAGAGCAGCACACUGUGUGAGAACCAAUGGAAAAAAGCCUGGGCUCCUG